rnacentral:lncRNA from 1 species
CGGUCCUCUUCUCUUGUGUCUAGACUGCUAGAGUCAUAUCCAUAUCCAUCAUUAAAUAAGUUGUGGAAAUACACCUUCCACCUUUCCUUGAUAUCGUUUUCAUGCACUAAGACUUUGCCUUCUUCAUCCUUAACACACUUUACGUGAUCCAAAUCUCUAGUCUUCCUUUCUCUACCCUUAGCAAGCCUAUAUAUAGAUCUUUCUACGUCCCUGGUUCCUAGAGCUUGGUAUAGUCCGUCAAAAGCUUGGGCUCUUGCCUCACUCACCGCCUUUUUGGUUUCAUUUCUAGCUAUCUUAUACUUAUCCCAAGUUUCAGAAUUUCUACACCUAG